rnacentral:rRNA from 1 species
GUGGAACCACUCUGAUUCCAUCCCGAACUCAGUUGUGAAACGCUGCUACGGCUACGAUAGUCUAGGGGUUGCCCUAUGCCACAAUCGC